rnacentral:rRNA from 1 species
UACGAAGGGGGCUAGCGUUGCUCGGAAUGACUGGGCGUAAAGGGCGCGUAGGCGGUUCAUACAGUCAGAUGUGAAAUUCCCGGGCUUAACCUGGGGGCUGCAUUUGAUACGUGUGGGCUUGAGUGAGGAAGAGGGUUGUGGAAUUCCCAGUGUAGAGGUGAAAUUCGUAGAUAUUGGGAAGAACACCAGUGGCGAAAGCGGCUUCCUGGUCCAGCACCGACGUUCAGGCACGAAAGCGUGGGGAGCAAACAGG